GACGAACGCUGGCGGCGUGCUUAACACAUGCAAGUCGAACGGUAAGGCCCCUUCGGGGGUCCACGAGUGGCGAACGGGUGAGUAACACGUGGGUGAUCUGCCCUGCACUUCGGGAUAAGCCUGGGAAACUGGGUCUAAUACCGGAUAGGACCACGCUCUGCAUGGAGUGUGGUGGAAAGCUUUUGCGGUGUGGGAUGGGCCCGCGGCCUAUCAGCUUGUUGGUGGGGUGAUGGCCUACCAAGGCGACGACGGGUAGCCGGCCUGAGAGGGUGUCCGGCCACACUGGGACUGAGAUACGGCCCAGACUCCUACGGGAGGCAGCAGUGGGGAAUAUUGCACAAUGGGCUCAAGCCUGAUGCAGCGACGCCGCGUGGGGGAUGACGGCCUUCGGGUUGUAAACCUCUUUCAGUACCGACGAAGCGCAAGUGACGGUAGGUACAGAAGAAGCACCGGCCAACUACGUG
rnacentral:rRNA from 1 species